GGUGGGGCUAAUGACUGGGGUGAAGUCGUAACAAGGUAGCCGUACCGGAAGGUGCGGCUGGAUCACCUCCUAA
rnacentral:rRNA from 1 species